AAUAUUGCGCAAUGGGGGAAACCCUGACGCAGCAACGCCGCGUGAAGUAAGAAUGCCUUCGGGUUGUAAACUUCUUUGAUGAGGGACGAACAAAUGACGGUACCUAAGGAACAAUCCACGGCGAAUCACGUGCCAGCAGCCGUGGUAAUACGUAGUUGGCAAGCGUUUUCCGGAAUUACUGGGUGUAAAGGGCGUGUAGGCGGGAAUGCAAGUCAGAUGUGAAAUUCCGGGGCAUAACCUCGGCGCUGCAUCUGAAACCGUAUUUAUUGAGUAUCGGAGAGGAAAGCGGAAUUCCCAGUGUAGCGGUGAAAUGCGUAGAGAUUGGGAGGAACACCAAUGGCGAAGGCGGCUUUCUGGACGAAAACUGACGCUGAGGCGCGAAAGCGUGGGGAGCAAACAGG
rnacentral:rRNA from 1 species